GUGUACUAUAGGGGUGGGGUGAUGAUCUUGUUGGAAGCGUUUGGGCAGGUUGUGUCUUUGGGAUCAAACCUGUUUGCUCCCUUGUCAUACGAAACUCAGGAGAAGUAAUUCCAAGUGGCACUUGAAUUGGUCCGGUUGGAAAGCUUCUUGGACUGGAAGUAACCUGCGUUAUUUCCAUGCUGGCUAUAGUCAUGUUAAAACUACCCCCCUUCUCGCUCGGCCAAUAUUAAGAGGGGGCUUAACUGGAAGUCCUCGGAAUAUUCAAAGCUGCUUGUAGAUCCAGGUAUAUGCAUGGGUUCCAGGUAUUACGUGGAACUAUGUUUUUAAGGAGAUGGAGCCUAGUUGUAAGCAGCCCUCGCAGGCAAUUCGGAAAUCACUUAGGUGAAAUGUAAGACCUGAAUGGGUUUGCAAAGCCAGUGGUAAAUCAAUUUUUUUACAUAGCUUUUGUCUACGUUAAGCACGUAAUUAACACCCCCAAACAAGUUUAUUCACCUGGCCUAAUUGUCUGUUUAUCCUCCAGCUUCUAAUGCUCCUCUCUUAACGAUAACCAGCGGGAGGCAAGUUACUCAAUGCCGACUAAACAUUAGCUCGAUCUUUGUUUAUUUGCCGCACAACCCCGACUUGACAAUGCAAGCAGGAGUUAGAAAUAACACUAAACUGACAGCAACAAAUAUUAAUUAACCUUGACUCGGCGUGUUUAGUUAGCAGGGAUUUAUUUAUUUGCGCUCAUUGACUCUGAACUCUAAAUUUCGAAGUUGGGCUACAUAUUUUUUUCAAUGUUCCAAGGGGGGGAAAUAAACAAAGGUCUUACGUCAUAUUGUGAGAGGGGAAACCGAGGAAAGACAGAGGCACUCUUUGAAAAGGUUUUAAACGGGGGAUUGUCAACGAUGAACUAAAGGGACGGGACUAUCGUGUAUGCAUUAUUUCUUGAAGGAAUCCGUUUGUCCAAGUGCAGAGGGGAAAUCCUUUCCGGAUCCUCCACGAGCACCAGCCAGUCCUCCAAGCCCUGCACAGCAAGAGCUGCUGCAGCUGUGUGAUGCUGUCGGGACGGGGCGCAAAUACCCCUUUCUCUGUGUUUGCUUAGCACCGGCUUUCAGCCCUCGUUGCUUUGCUGGGAGUCCGAACGUGGUUUAUAGCGCUGUACUGGAGCAUUUCUUCUUAUUGAUGAUUCUUAUGAUGAUUAUGAAAUACACAAUUUUAAUCAGACGUGUCCUACCUUUAUAGACUGAAAAUAUUAAUUGGCUAUUGUCAAUACUACGUUCUUUAUUGGCUAUUGAUACAGCCGGGAUAGUAUUGACUUGGCACAUGGUCUUGGGAGGAAUUAAGUGUUUGUCAAAGAUAGCAAGAAUGAGAUCCAGAGGGGCAGAAUAGAAAAUGGGGAUGAAGAUUAUACGAGAUGAUUAGGCCUCCGCAUGCAGGACCUGCGACUGUUUUUUUUUUGACAAUAGUUUUCUGAUUAUUUGUUUUUGGUAAAAGUCUAGAAAUCUGCUUAUUUUCUAAAAAAAAUAAAAGUUCCUGAAUUUAAA